rnacentral:rRNA from 1 species
AGAGUGAACGCUGGCGGUAGGCCUAACACAUGCAAGUCGAACGGCAGCACAGUGGUAGCAAUACCAUGGGUGGCGAGUGGCGGACGGGUGAGGAAUACAUCGGAAUCUACCUUUUCGUGGGGGAUAACGUAGGGAAACUUACGCUAAUACCGCAUACGCCCUUCGGGGGAAAGCCGGGGAUCGCAAGACCUGGCGCGGAUAGAUGAGCCGAUGUCGGAUUAGCUAGUUGGUGAGGUAAUGGCUCACCGAAGGCGACGAUCCGUAGCUGGUCUGAGAGGAUGAUCAGCCACACUGGAACUGAAGACCGACGGUACCAGACUACCGUACGGGAGCAGCAGGUGGGAAUAUGGACAAGUGGGCGAC